rnacentral:rRNA from 1 species
GUGCACCAGGCGCGAAAACUUCACAAUGUGCGAAAGCACGAUGAGGGAAUCCCAAGUGCUUGCACGUAAGUGUAAGCUGUUUCUCUGUCUAAAACGCAGAGAGAGUAAGGGCUGGGUAAGACGGGUGCCAGCCGCCGCGGUAAUACCUGCAGCUCGAGUGGUGACCGUUAUUAUUGGGCCUAAAACGUCCGUAGCCGGUUUAAUAAAUGCCUGGGUAAAUCGGACCGCUUAACGGUUCGAAUUCCGGGUAGACUGUUAAACUUGAGACCGGGAGAAGUUAGAGGUACUCCUGGGGUAGAGGUGAAAUUCUGUAAUCCUAGGGGGACCACCAGUGGCGAAGGCGUCUAACUAGAACGGGUCUGACGGUGAGGGACGAAGCCCUGGGGCGCAAACGGGGAUUAGAUACCCGGGUAGU